rnacentral:rRNA from 1 species
GACGAACGCUGGCGGCGUGCCUAAUACAUGCAAGUAGAACGCACAGUUUAUACCGUAGCUUGCUACACCAUAGACUGUGAGUUGCGAACGGGUGAGUAACGCGUAGGUAACCUGCCUGGUAGCGGGGGAUAACUAUUGGAAACGAUAGCUAAUACCGCAUAAUAUUAAUUAUUGCAUGAUAAUUAAUUGAAAGGUGCAAUUUCACCACUACCAGAUGGACCUGCGUUGUAUUAGCUAGUAGGUGAGGUAACGGCUCACCUAGGCGACGAUACAUAGCCGACCUGAGAGGGUGAUCGGCCACACUGGGACUGAGACACGGCCCAGACUCCUACGGGAGGCAGCAGUAGGGAAUCUUCGGCAAUGGACGAAAGUCUGACCGAGCAACGCCGCGUGAGUGAAGAAGGUUUUCGGAUCGUAAAGCUCUGUUGUAAGAGAAGAACGGGUGUGAGAGUGGAAAGUUCACACUGUGACGGUAUCUUACCAGAAAGGGACGGCUAACUACGUG